rnacentral:rRNA from 1 species
UCCAAAAACAUCGCCUCUUGAUUACCAUAAGAGGUCUAGCCUGCCCAGUGACCAAUUUAACGGCCGCGGUACCCUAACCGUGCAAAGGUAGCAUAAUCACUUGUUUCUUAAAUGGGGACUAGUAUCAAUGGCAUCACGAAGACUACACUGUCUCCCCUUUAAAAUCAAUGAAACUGAUCCCCUCGUGAAGAAGCGAGGAUGUAAAUAUAAGACGAGAAGACCCCAUGGAGCUUUAAACGAACUUCAACUGCUCCCCUCCUUACCAUAUAAAUUGAGCAUUAAUGAUAGAUAGUUUUCGGUUGGGGUAACCGCGGAGUAAAACAAAACCUCCACAAUGAAUAUAAAAUACUAAUAAAAGAACCACAAUUCUAAUAAUCAAAAAUUUGACAUAAAUUGACCCAAACACUUGAUCAAUGAACCAAGUUACCCUGGGGAUAACAGCGCAAUCCAUUUUAAGAGCCCUUAUCGACAAAUGGGUUUACGACCUCGAUGUUGGAUCAGGGUAUCCCAGUGGUGCAGCCGCUACUAAUGGUUCGUUUGUUCAACGAUUAAAACCCUACGUGAUCUG